AUCCAUUCCUCUGUUGAUGGGCACUGUAGGCUGAUUUGAUUUCUGUGCUUUUGUGAUUACAGAAGCAAUAAGCAAGGGCGCGCAAGUUUCUCUGUGGGUUCUGGCCAUACCUAGAAGGGAGCGACUGAUGUCUAGAGAAGCAAACAUUCAUCGACUCCCCUGCGAUGUACUUACACCCCUAAAUAGAGUCGAGACUUGGUCUCAACUCCAAAGCACAAAUCGUCACUGGACACUGCCAUACUGAAGCAAGAUGCCUCUCACUGCCAACAUCAAAACAAAUUUCUCUCUUCAAAUGCAAAUUUUCCUGGACAGAAGACAUUAUUUAUGAUGGAAGCCUGCUGGAAGGAGAAGAUACAUUCAUUUUCCUGGCUCCCAGACAGCUAUGGAUCUGUCUGGGCUGUCAGGGAAUAACUUCCCCACAGACAAAUAUCAAGAUAACCAUACCUCAUGUUCAGUCUGGCAGAUCUUUGCCUGAGGUGGGGGUGGGAAGAGAGAGAGAAACACACAGAGAGAGAAACAGACAGACAGACAGACAGACAGACUAGAUGACAUUUCACCAAGUGAUCCUAUACUGAAAGGGAAGGCAUCUUGUUCUGAACGACUGAAUGAUGACUUCUUCAUAGCUCAAGACUUCUAGAGAGAAAAAGGAAAGAACUAACUAGAAGAGCACUGAGAUGUCUAAUCACACUGCUCAAGUGCCUGUGACAUUUUCACACCUGGAAAUUAGAAAAUAAUUAAGAAAUAAGACUGCUCCAAUGUUCAACUAGAUAGGUAUUAAAAUAUUUCCUUAAAGGCCAGUUUCAAAUUGCAGAAUAUAUUUCUACAAUAAAAUCACAAAACUAAUUGGUUAUUAUUUACAAUUUUAUAUAUACAUAAAAUAAUUUUUUGUUAAAAAUUAUUUAUUUAUUUAUUUAUUUAUUUAUUUUAUAUAUGUGAGUACACUGUAGCUAUCUUCAGAUAAACCAGAAGAGGGCAUCAGAUCCCAUUACAGAUGGUUGUGAGCUACCAUGUGGUUGCUGGGAAUUGAACUCAGGACCUCUGGAAGAGCAGUCAGUGCUCUUAACUCUUGAGCCAUUUCUCCAACCCUGUAAAUGAAAAAAUUUAAAGGAAAUCCUCAUCUUUAAACGGAUUUUUACCACUAAAGCAGCAGCCUAGCUACCUUGCUGCACUCCCAGAGGCAGCCGAAUGGAAAACGUUUGUUUCCGGUCGUGUUCCGAUUAGAGUUAUGAGACUGCCACCUUUACCCCAUCUCUAAAGCACAGUCUCGAAUCCGAGGCCACUCCUGAGUGUCAGCAUCUGAGGAGUUCCACGGCCAGGUAUGCUGCUCCUUGCUGAUUAUGACAUGCAGCUAUUCGGAUGAAUCAUCUUCUAACAUAGCUGAUUACUUCCCAGAUGAUUUUGAAAGCACUGCAGUACAGCAGGAGUUGAGACAAAAGCCAUCCUUCUGUCCAGAGUUCUAAGCUAGCUAUGAAAUAAUGUUACCAAUAAUCUAUCACAUUUAUCAGUUUAUUUAAAACCAAGAAUUAGGAGAUACUGGCUGAUCUACACACCCAGCCCUAGGAAAUAAUAUAAAAAGCAAUGAUGGAGGAAGAGAAGCACAGAGUCCCCAGCUGACUGGACCCACAGAAGAUGAAAAUGACCAUCAGGACAAACACUGAGCAACUGCAGAGCUGUACCACUGCAAUUAUCAUCAUCAUCAUUAUCAUCAUCAUCAUCAUUAGCUUCUGCCUGCAGACUCUGAAUUUUCCACAGUGAAUAGGUACCACCUCUGUGACAGCUAUUCUCACACUGGCUUGGUGAUUUAAGAGAUCAAGAAGGCACAUACCGGAAGAAUCUUGGGCAGUCACAUCCACACCGUGUGUCACCAUGACCUUGAGGCAUUCCACGUGUCCCUUCGCAGCGGCAAGGUGGAAACUGCAAGCAGAGAAGAGAACACAGUUCCUUAGGAGUCCAUCCUCACAGAGCACAACUUCAGCAAACCUUGACCUCUCCCUGUCUCCCUGGACACGCUUUCUCUCCUCCGAGACCCAAGGGGGCAAGCUAUCAACCUCACCGUGAGCACCACACACUCUGUAGGGUCUCAUCGUUUGGUCAUUUUAUACUGCUCUUCUUUUUUGGUGCUGGUGCUUGAAUCCAGAAUAUCAUAUAUUAACUCAGAGCUACACAUCUCCGGUCAAUCACUGUCAUCUUUUAUUAAGUGACAGAGUACAAACUUUCAACCCAAAGACAAGGCUCUUUCAAAACUGAGCCUCACCACAUCUUUGCCUCUUUCUCCACCCAGGCCGAGCUUCUAAGUAAUAAGUCAUUAACUUCCUCCCUGUUGUCCACUGCUCACGGCAAAAGCAUCCUUCUUAAACAACACCCUGUACUAAUGUAUUGGUCAAGCCAUGUCUGGUGUUGUUCUAGAGUUGAAGAACAGAGUCACAGGGAACUUUUGUUGAGCGUUCAGUAAAUGUCCAACAUCUUACCCACUUUUGUACAUCAUCUCUGUUCAUUCCCGUUAACAGCUUUUAUGGCGAGACUUAUAUCUGUGGUUGGCACAGGAGUAACAGGGUAAACAGCAAUGAAGUCUCCAACUGGGCUCCAGGACUCAGUGAUACUCAAACCACAUCUUUAGAAUGCCAUUAAAAGGAUUCACAUCCAAAUACCAUAGUAACCAUCCCUGCAGGUCCCUGAGAGAAGGACUUCAAGACCAGAAGCAGAUACUGUCUUUCAACAUGGAGUGAUGGCCUGGCUUUAUCACUCUCGCUCUUAUGGAGAGGGGCAGACAACGAGCCCUCCCUCCUAUGCCUCAGCUCUGUAUCCUCGGGAUAGAUAUUUCCUAUGUGGACUACCUCUGAAUUACAGCCCUGGAGUUUAGUGUCUACCUGUACAGUUUAUCUGCCAUCAGGGCCUGGAGCUGUGGUCAACUGGCAAAUGCAAGAUCUGAUGUCUAAACCCAGUGUGUGUGGUUGCAGACCUCUCUUUACAGCUAAGUGUAGUGAAUGGACACAUCACCAAAGGAGGGUACUUCAGGCCUGGGAGUAAAUCAGCAGCUAGAAAACAAAAGCUAAUCCUCUGUGUCUGGACAAAAUCCAUUCAGCUUCUCUUGAGCCUAAAUUCCCUUCGCUGUAAAGAAAAAACUGACUAAAGCCUACUGAGUCACCCAAUCAUGUUAUUUCAACGUGUGUAACUGGACCUAAGUACAAUCUCUUUACCAUCGGAAUUCACUCUGUAAGUUGUUCAUAUAUUAGUAAAAACAUGCUAGUUUGGAAAUGCGGUGACAGAUAGAAGCAGCAGUGACUGAUAUUUCACUGACAGAAUCCCGGUGAAACAAAUUUGCCCUGUAAGAAGCAGCUCCAAACUCUCUCGUUUGCUCCGCAUGGCUGAGGUCCUUCAUUCCAUGAUAAACGGAAAGCCGUCUAUCUUAACUGCCUUGGGGAAGCUUUCUGAAUGGGCCUCAGACACAGAAGUGGUAAAUAUAACUAACCGGUCUUG